rnacentral:misc_RNA from 1 species
GAUGAAGAACGCAGCGAAAUGCGAUAAGUAAUGUGAAUUGCAGAAUUCAGUGAAUCAUCGAGUCUUUGAACGCACAUUGCGCCCCCUGGUAUUCCGGGGGGCAUGCCUGUCCGAGCGUCAUUGCUGCCCUCAAGCACGGCUUGUGUGUUGGGCCCCGCCCCCCGGCUCCCGGGGGGCGGGCCCGAAAGGCAGCGGCGGCACCGCGUCCGGUCCUCGAGCGUAUGGGGCUUCGUCACCCGCUCCGUAGGCCCGGCCGGCGCCCGCCGGCGACCCCCCUCAAUCUUUUCAGGUUGACCUCGGAUCAGGUAGGGAUACCCGCUGAACUUAAGCAUAUCAAAAGCGGAGGA